rnacentral:tRNA from 1 species
AGUUCUGUAGCUCAGAGGAUUAGAGCAUGUUGCUACAAACCACGUUGUCGGAGGUUCGAAUCCCUCCGCGUCCA